rnacentral:rRNA from 1 species
UGGGGAAUUUUGGACAAUGGGCGAAAGCCUGAUCCAGCAAUGCCGCGUGUGUGAAGAAGGCCUUCGGGUUGUAAAGCACUUUUGUCCGGAAAGAAAUCCUUGGCUCUAAUACAGUCGGGGGAUGACGGUACCGGAAGAAUAAGCACCGGCUAACUACGUGCCAGCAGCCGCGGUAAUACGUAGGGUGCAAGCGUUAAUCGGAAUUACUGGGCGUAAGCGUGCGCAGGCGGUUUGCUAAGACCGAUGUGAAAUCCCCGGGCUCAACCUGGGAACUGCAUUGGUGACUGGCAGGCUAGAGUAUGGCAGAGGGGGGUAGAAUUCCACGUGUAGCAGUGAAAUGCGUAGAGAUGUGGAGGAAUACCGAUGGCGAAGGCAGCCCCCUGGGCCAAUACUGACGCUCAUGCACGAAAGCGUGGGGAGCAAACAGGAUUAGAUACCCUGGUAGUCCACGCCCUAAACGAUGUCAACUAGUUGUUGGGGAUUCAUUUCCUUAGUAACGUAGCUAACGCGUGAAGUUGACCGCCUGGGGAGUACGGUCGCAAGAUUAAAACUCAAUGAAUUGACGGGG